rnacentral:lncRNA from 1 species
UUGGAAAGGCUUCCCUACAAAAUGUUUAUAACCAGUUACGACACUUAAAGCUGCUGCAUCAUUAAUGGUUACCGACAGAUAGCAUGAAUAGGAUCACCAUCCAUCCUCUUCAUACUUGUUUAUCAGCUCACCCUGACGAGGAAAAUGGACAGUUCUUACUCUUAAUUGUGUUAACAUUCCCUGAUUAGGUAAACGUUGCUGUUCGUAUCGAAUACAUCAGGUUCCUUCAAGUACAUCAAGUUUUUUGCAGAAGAAACACCACACUACGUACAGACUCUGUGAUGUAUGUAACCAGCACAAAUGGCAGCUGUUGCUAACCACGUCACAAUGUUCAUCUUCUUCUUUGCACCAAAACAUUUUGAUCAAUCUCCCAUUGGUAUCAAUUUUACCUGCUGGCACCAUGCAUCCAAGUGUUUAUGGUUUUCUCCAGAUUCUAUCAGCAUGAUCUUUAACCUUGUUCUUCUUAGAUUCAUUCAUAAAAUUUCACUUCUUUAACAUCAACAUCAAAAGAAAAAGGAACUCACUCUCCUAAACAUUCUCCUCCAAAACUAAACUAUUAUUAAGGAUCUAACCAUGAUCAGAUUACUGAUUACACCACUAAUCUAGUAUUCAUUGCUACAAAAAUUUUGCACCCCCCAUCAAAUAUAACUUCAAACAGAGAAAAAACAGUGGCAAUCCCAACCCUCUGUCAGAAGAUUUUCUCUGGAAUCCCUAGUUUUUGCAACCAAGCUAAUUAAGACCGGGGCCUGGAAAGUCGUGAUCUUUUUUCUUCAUCUGGGUGGUUGAGCUAUCGAUCUAAAAAAUAACAAAGACAGAUGCUAAAUUCGUUCAAUUUGAAUCCAAAAAGGUCGAAACUGAGUUUGAUUAAUUACCCAUUUAGGAGAUGGCCUUGACAUUUAGGAAGAAAGCGGCGGAGCAGAGGAUGGAAGCAACGAAAGUGAAGAUGCCGAAGCCAAUCAUGAGCGAAAUCCCAGCUACCGCCAGAUCAAGCAUGCUCUGUACAGUCAACCCCAUCAUCAGCAUCGCCAUUUUUUUGCAGUACCCUCUGUUUUUUUUAUCUCGUUGCUGGUUUUGUUUAUCGGCUUGUGUUUAUAUACAAAGGUGGGGAAUUUGCUACGAGGCGGUCGAGAUUGGAGAUGCGGAUUGGGACCAGGAGCUCAGAGGGGAUCGGUAUGGCGGAAAGCAAGGAGGGGGUUGCUUGGGAAGUGUGUGACAAAUCCAAUCUUGUUCAGUCUGCUGCUAAAUAGAGCAACCAUUAUCGUCUUGGGCCAAGAUCCUCUGCAUCUUUACCGUUUUGUGAUCAACCGUUUAGUCUGAGGUUUGUGGAAAAUUUUCGAAUUUUUACCUAGAGUAAUCAUUAUCGUCUUGGGCCAAGAUUCCAUGUCAAGAUAAAGUUACCCGACCUGUAGUUCCGAACCAGCCAAAACAGAGUUAUUUUUUUAGAACAAUCAUUUAUCGUUUUGUUAUGUGCAGC